CAUAACAACUUCUGAUUAAAAUUUUAUUGUUAUUUUAUUUCCGGCUCUGAAAAGACGCAAAAAAAUUCUCUCCGCGUUUUCAAAAUUGAAACUCAAAAUUUUUUGUGAAAAUAACUCCUUUUAUUUAAAAACUUAAAAACAAAAUGGGUUGCGGACCUUGCUGCGGUGGCUGCUGCUCUCCUUGUUGUGGUCCUUGCUGUGUACCUUGCUGUGCACCUUGCGUUUACGUACCCUACUGCUGUGCACCUUGUUGUGCCCCCUGCUGUGGACCGUGUUGUGGAUCUUGCUGUGGCGGUUGUGGCGGGUGCUGUUGAUGUUACCUGAUUACCUACGUUCUCGAAGAAUUCCAACGAUCAAUGUCUUUGAAAAAACUAUGACGCCCCUCCGGGACCAAAUUUUGUUAAAAUGUAAUUGAUCAUAAUAUGUAACAUCCGCCCAUAAAAAAAAAUAAAAACCCAAACACCUAAAAA